rnacentral:rRNA from 1 species
UUAAGCAUAUCAAUAAGCGGAGGAAAAGAAACCAACAGGGAUUGCCUUAGUAACUGCGAGUGAAGCGGCAAGAGCUCAAAUUUGAAAUCUGGCACCUUCGGUGUCCGAGUUGUAAUUUGUAGAAGCAUCUUUUGGAUUGGUCCUUGCAUAUGUUCCUUGGAACAGGACAUCAUAGAGGGUGAGAAUCCCGUUCAUGGUGGGGAAUCCAAUUCUUUGUAAAGUGCUUUCGAAGAGUCGAGUUGUUUGGGAAUGCAGCUCUAAGUGGGUGGUAAAUUCCAUCUAAAGCUAAAUAUUGGCGAGAGACCGAUAGCGAACAAGUACAGUGAUGGAAAGAUGAAAAGAACUCCGAAAGGAGAGUGAAAAAGGACGUGAAAUUGUUGAAAGGGAAGUGCUUGAGAUCAGUCUUAAGGUUUAGUGAUCAGUCUUCCUUUUGGUUGGUGCACUCACUAUUUCUUAGGCCAACAUCAGUUUUGGCGGCAGGAUAAUGACAUUGGAAUGUGGCUCUUUCGGGAGUGUUAUAGCCUUUGUUGAUACUGCCUGCUUGGACUGAGGACCGCGCUUUUUGCUAGGAUGUUGGCAUAAUGAUCUUAAGCAGCCCGUCUG